UUUUUUUUUUUUUUUUCUUUCUCUUAGGUAGAUUAGUGCAUUUAAAACCUGAAGUUAAUUUGACCUAAAAUUUUUCUAAGUCUUUGCAGAAAGUUCACUUGUUUCCUGAAAUCAUCUCCUUGAUGAUUUUUUAUGUAACAGUUGUUCAUAUUGUAGGAAUGAUAUAUAUGUCAUCCUGUUACACGCAUCAGGCACUUCAAAAAGACUCCAAGAGAACAUGCCUGAGAGAGAUAACUCCCAAUUAAAAAUGAUUCAGUCCCUCAUUUGCAAUAUUCAGGAUAAAUAUGUGGAAACAUUAGGCUACCAGAUAAAGUAAAGGUAGUUAUUUCCUAGGGUGACUCAGCAAGAUAUUUCUCGAGGAUAUCACAUUUUUUAUAUCGCACAAUUUCUUAGAAUCCAGAUGGCAAGCUGUCUCACUGCUUUUGUUGAAUGGAAAAUAAAAACUGAGUAAUAUUUUGCUCAUCAAGGUUUAGGUCACUUCCUUGGAGCUAUUUGAGUAAGACAUCUUAGAUGGUGAGAAAGGAUUAAAAAAGAAGAUAUCUGGGAGUGGAUACAGCAGGCACAUAGCCCUUAAAACCCUUCCCUCUCUUUUUCCCUUUAUUUCCUUUGCUUUGGGGUCGGGUGAGACAACUACAGCAACAGUUGGGACAAUCUCCACUUAGAUCCUGAAAGACCAGAGAGGUGAAGAACAGGAUAUAAACCUUCAACUGUUCCUGUGGGUCUGCUUCCUUUUCUAAGGCAACCUCGUAUUUGGAGCUUUAGUCAUAAUUCUUCCCAUUCUGAACUGUGAAACAUUUCGGUUUUUAUUUAUUUUUAUUUGAUUUUUUUUUCCUUAAGAAUCAUAGGAUUAGCAGUAGUUGGGCACUGCAUGAAAAAUGAAGUUUACAUAGUUUAUAUUAUGUACAUAAACUAGUGAUUUACAUUGAUUUACACAUGAUUGGUGCCUAAUUUAUUAAUCAGCACGCAGUAUGUAAAUGUGCUGAAAAGAAAUCAAGGUUUAAAAUAAGUUUUCCAUAAUAUUCAUAAACAUUUUCGCUGGUGUAAAUGUUAAACCUAAACCCAACGUUAACACCAGCUUCCUUGCCAAGAGAAAAGUGAUGUACAUUGCUGGGUGAAAACAAAUUCUUUCCUAAAUUUUGGUUGGCGACAUUUGAACAGCAUAGCUACAUGCAAAUGAGAAUAGUUUACUUCUUUUCUGCUAGUAUGCACAUAAAUGUAAACUCCAUUUUGCAUUUAGUGAGAUGUUUACAGAUAUUAUGCCAACCAUGAUGGAAAAUUUACAUCACUGAGGCAAAUGCAGUCUUUGGAGAAGAAAUAUUCUAAACAUUUAAGCAAGGGAGGAGGCUUCCUAAACUGCACUUUUGUUUCUUAAUUCAGGGUCUUAUCUCACCAUUUUUGUGGUAUGUUUCAUAUUUGUCUUCAAAAUAUUAAUAGUUUAUGUAGGUCAGAUAUAGCAUUGUACUUUCAUUUCUCUUAAAAAAUGAUACUGGUAACCAAGACUAAAUGCAGGCUAAAAGUUUAUGAGGAUGAAAAGAAAAAUGAGGACAUGGUUAAUCCCGUUAUACAUGUUUGACAAGCAAAUUUCUUUUUGGCAAAUAAUUACAAAAUGGAAAAAGUGGGGUUCUAUGUCUUUCCACAUGAGCAUAGAUUUUUUUUUUCCAAACAACCAAAUUCAGUACUUUUCUUCCUUUUAAGUUCAAAACAUUAUUCUUAAUUUGUCUUAUAAUACACACAUUAUUGUAAAUAUAGCAUCUAUAAAGAUAAGAUAAAAAAAAUACACACACAUAUAUAUUAUUGUUUUCCACAAAUAAUUCGAGCCCUGCAAAGAACAAAAUGAAAAAUUCAGGGAGACUAGCCAAUAGAAACAGUGAGACCACAACCAACUCAGGGAUGGAAUCUGUGACUCUGGAGGAUUCAAGAAGCUCACAACUUGGUAAAGUAAUAACUCAAAUAAUGUCAUGCUGAGGAGUUUAGCUUCUGUGUGCAAAGGAGGUAAGUCCAUUUUUGAAGGAGAAACAGAUUUUUGUUUGGUCCUCCAAGAACGUGAAAAUCACGAGUACUUUUACAAGGUCUCUAUGAAUAGUCCCAGUAGUCUGACUACGUAGUAAAAAAAUGCCCAUGGCAAGCGAGAAGUCUGUCUGACUUGGAAGAGAAGGCAAAGGUCAAUGGGGCAGUCCUUCCUGACAGAAAACACAUACGGUUUUCUAUAAGCCUUAGUUCUUUUAAGACAGGGGAAUUUUAUGUCUCAAAACAAGCAAGACUUUUUAUCCAACAAGGCAAAACCUUUGCUCAACAAUUGCACAGAGCAUGAUUACAAUUCUGCUGUUGUAAAACCCUGGAUAGUUCUCGUUCUUCAGGAAGCGCCCUGGGUCAAAGUCAUUUCUGUUUUUGUCAACUGAAAGUUGGGUCUAAGGAUUUUUUUUUUUUUUUUUUUUUGAGAAGGAGUCUGGCUCUGUCGCCCAGGCUGGAGUGCAGUGGCCAGAUCUCAGCUCACUGCAAGCUCUGCCUUCCGGGUUUACGCCAUUCUCCUGCCUCAGCCUCCCGAGUAGCUGGGAACACAGACGCCACCCUCGCCCGGCUAGUUUUUUGUAUUUUUUAGUAGAGACGGGGUUUCACCGUGUUAGCCAGGAUGGUCUCGAUCUCCUGACCUCGUGAUCCGCCCGUCUCGGCCUCCCAAAGUGCUGGGAUUACAGGCUUGAGCCACCGCGCCCGGCUAAGGAUUUUGUUU
rnacentral:lncRNA from 1 species